GACGAACCGAGCGAACGUUGUUCGGAAUCACUGGGCUUAAAGGGCGCGUAGGCGGGCGAUCAAGUCGGUGGUGAAAUCCUGCAGCUUAACUGCAGAACUGCCUCCGAUACUGGUUGUCUCGAGGAAGGUAGGGGCGUGCGGAACAGUUGGUGGAGCGGUGAAAUGCGUUGAUAUCAACUGGAACUCCGGUGGCGAAGGCGGCACGCUGGACCUUUUCUGACGCUGAGGCGCGAAAGCCAGGGGAGCAAACGGG
rnacentral:rRNA from 1 species